rnacentral:rRNA from 1 species
AUUGAACGCUGGCGGCAUGCCUUACACAUGCAAGUCGAACGGUAACAGGUUAAGCUGACGAGUGGCUAACGGGUGAGUAAUGUAUCGGAACGUGCCCAGUCGUGGGGGAUAACUGCUCGAAAGAGCAGCUAAUACCGCAUACGACCUGAGGGUGAAAGCGGGGGAUCGCAAGACCUCGCGCGAUUGGAGCGGCCGAUAUCAGAUUAGGUAGUUGGUGAGGUAAAGGCUCACCAAGCCGACGAUCUGUAGCUGGUCUGAGAGGACGACCAGCCACACUGGGACUGAGACACGGCCCAGACUCCUACGGGAGGCAGCAGUGGGGAAUUUUGGACAAUGGGCGCAAGCCUGAUCCAGCCGUGCCGCGUGCGGGAAGAAGGCCUUCGGGUUGUAAACCGCUUUUGUCAGGGAAGAAAAGGUUCUGGCUAAUACCUGGGACUCAUGACGGUACCUGAAGAAUAAGCACCGGCUAACUACGUG